rnacentral:rRNA from 1 species
GAUGAACGCUGGCGGCGUGCCUAAUACAUGCAAGUCGAGCGAAAAGACGAGGAGCUUGCUCCUCUGCCGUUAGCGGCGGACGGGUGAGUAACACGUGGAUAACCUACCUAUAAGACUGGGAUAACUUCGGGAAACCGGAGCUAAUACCGGAUAAUAUAUUGAACCGCAUGGUUCAAUAGUGAAAGACGGUUUUGCUGUCACUUAUAGAUGGAUCCGCGCCGCAUUAGCUAGUUGGUAAGGUAACGGCUUACCAAGGCAACGAUGCGUAGCCGACCUGAGAGGGUGAUCGGCCACACUGGAACUGAGACACGGUCCAGACUCCUACGGGAGGCAGCAGUAGGGAAUCUUCCGCAAUGGGCGAAAGCUUGACGGAGCAACGCCGCGUGAGUGAUGAAGGUCUUCGGAUCGUAAAACUCUGUUAUUAGGGAAGAACAAAUGUGUAAGUAACUAUGCACGUCUUGACGGUACCUAAUCAGAAAGCCACGGCUAACUACGUG